GACGAACGCUGGCGGCGGGCUUAACACAUGCAAGUCGAACGGAAAGGCCCUGCUUUUGUGGGGUGCUCGAGUGGCGAACGGGUGAGUAACACGUGAGUAACCUUCCCUUGACUUUGUGAUAACUUCAGGAAACUGGGGCUAAUACCUGAUAGGAGCUCCUGCUGCAGGGGGGUGGUUGGAAAGUUUCGGCGGUUGUGGAUGGAUUGUGGGCUUAUGAGCUUGUUGGUGGGGUAGUGGCUUACGAAGGCUUUGGCGGGUGGCCGGCCUGGGAGGGUAACCGGGCACAUUGGGACUGAGGUAGGGACCAGACUCCUACAGGGGGCAGCAGUGGGGAAUAUUGCACAAUCGGCGGAAGCCUGAUGAAGCAACGCCGCGUGCGUGAUGACGGCCUUCGGGUUGUAAACCGCUGUAGCCUGUGACGAAGCGGGAGUGACGGUACUGGGUAAAGAAGCACCGGCUAACUACGUG
rnacentral:rRNA from 1 species